rnacentral:rRNA from 1 species
UGGGGAAUAUUGGACAAUGGGCGAAAGCCUGAUCCAGCCAUGCCGCGUGCGUGAAGAAGGUCUUCGGAUUGUAAAGCACUUUAAGUUGGGAGGAAGGGCAGUCAGUUAAUACCUGGUUGUUUUGACGUUACCAACAGAAUAAGCACCGGCUAACUUCGUG